rnacentral:rRNA from 1 species
GGCCAGACUCCUACGGGAGGCAGCAGUGAGGAAUAUUGGUUAAUGGUCGGGAGACUGAACCAGCCAAGCCGCGUGAGGGAGGAAGGUACAGAGUAUCGUAAACCUCUUUUGUCAGGGAACAAAGACUGGGACGCGUCCCCGGAUGAGUGUACCUGAAGAAAAAGCAUCGGCUAACUCCGUGCCAGCAGCCGCGGUAAUACGGAGGAUGCGAGCGUUAUCCGGAUUUAUUGGGUUUAAAGGGUGCGCAGGCGGUCUGUUAAGUCAGCGGUCAAAGCCCGGGGCUCAACCCCGGUCCGCCGUUGAAACUGUGUCCCUUGAGUGCGCGAAGGGUAGGCGGAAUGCGUGGUGUAGCGGUGAAAUGCAUAGAUAUCACGCAGAACUCCGAUCGCGAAGGCAGCCUACCGGCGCGCAACUGACGCUCAUGCACGAAAGCGUGGGUAUCGAACAGGAUUAGAUACCCCGGUACGU